GUGGGCGUAGCGGGGCCGCGAAGCGGCAAGGUAGAGCCCCGGGUUGUGAUCCCGGUCGUCGUGGGUUCGAGUCCCAUCGUCCACCGCA
rnacentral:tRNA from 1 species